UGGGGAAUAUUGGACAAUGGGCGAAAGCCUGAUCCAGCAAUGCCGCGUGAGUGAUGAAGGCCUUAGGGUUGUAAAGCUCUUUUACCCGGGAUGAUAAUGACAGUACCGGGAGAAUAAGUCCCGGCUAACUCCGUGCCAGCAGCCGCGGUAAUACGGAGGGGGCUAGCGUUGUUCGGAAUUACUGGGCGUAAAGCGCGCGUAGGCGGCUUUGUAAGUCAGAGGUGAAAGCCUGGAGCUCAACUCCAGAACUGCCUUUGAAACUGUCGGGCUUGAGGCCGGGAGGGGGUAGCGGAAUUCCCAGUGUAGCGGUGAAAUGCGUAGAUAUUGGGAGGAACACCGGUGGCGAAGGCGGCUACCUGGACCGGUUCUGACGCUGAUGCGCGAAAGCGUGGGUAGCAAA
rnacentral:rRNA from 1 species